AUAUUGAGAUAAAACCCAGGGAAAUAGGAUGGAAAAGGAAAUUUUCCACGGCUCGUAGGCUGAGUGGAACAGAUUGUGUGCAAAAUCCUGGGAUGAAGCAGCACUUUUCGAUCUGGAAUCAAUCCUGGCAGGAAGUGGAAACAUUUGCUGUGGAGUGGGAAACAACACAUGGUUGUUGCAUUAUAUUUACCCAAUAAAGUCUUUUUUUUUUUUUUUUUACAUGUAGGAUUGGAAAAAAAAAAAGGCAUUUAAUAAAAGAAGGAUGCUGGGAAUGCUUUUCCAGAGAGAUGAGGAAUAUUUUUUUUUCCAUUUUGUCAGGUUUUUAGCAGGUAGGGAAUGAUCCUUCCAUGAUGCCUGUGUCGGAAAAAUAAACAAAUAUCUUUGAUUUUUUUGCCUGAUGAUGUUGAGGAGAAAUAUUCCUCCUGUAUCCAGAUUCCAAAUCAUUCCAUCUGCCAUUCCCAUGGAGGAGAGAGCCCCUGGACACCUUGGAGCUGAACAUUCCCGACUGCUCCCCGCUGCCAGGCUGGGGGAGAAGCGCUCGGGAAGCCGGGCUGAAUUCCCGGCUUUGAUUGCCACGUGUGUGGGAUGUCACAGGAGGAGCGUGGGCAGGGAAGCGAUGGAAGGAGCGUUCCCACCUCCACACGGCAUUUCGGGAGGAAUCAGACCCUGCCUGGAAGGAGAAGGAGCCGCUGGCGAGGUUUCCUAAGGAUCCUUCCUGACUUUCUGUGUUUCUCUUGGAUCCCAGCACGGAGGCUGCAGCCUGCCCGGAGAACGGCAGCUGGGGAAGAGCUGGGCAAGGAAAAUCCAGGGAUUCUGAGGGUCGAGGUGAGUUACAGGCAUCGGGAUAAAGGGAUCCUGUGGGAUCACAGCAUUCCCACCCUGCCCAGCGGAUUCCUUGGGAGAAGCAGGAAUGAAGGGGUUUGGAAGUGCUGGGCUGGAAUCUGUCCCAAUAAAAAUUCCCUAUCCCGUUAUCCACCCCGGACACCCCAGGAGGGGGCUUUUCCCAGCGGGAUGGGGAUGGAUCCCGUGUGGAUCCACGGAGGGAGACGGGGCAGGAAGGA
rnacentral:lncRNA from 1 species